UUCUGCCCGCGGCUAUGGAACCCUGACCUGUCCACCGGAUGUGCUACCUGUCCCAGACCUGCUGUUUUCAACUCUAGAGGGUACAUGAGUGUCUUGGGAUUCCCUAGGGCCUGGAAGUAAAGUCGGGGAAAGGUCUCGGUGACAGACUUACACAGAGGGUCCUGCCAUUUUAAACCACAUACUUUUAGAUUCYCCAAGUUUGCGUGUUUUGCACAUCUGUAUGGUUGAUUGAAACAUAUGAAGUUUAUAAUUAAGUUAUGUUUUAUUUAUAUUAAUGUAUUUUUAUGUUUUUACUAUUGAUAUUAUUUGCAAGGUACUGUAAUUGCAAGUGCUUCUCAUCAUAUGUGCACUUCCCUUGUCRAAUGUCAGAAUAAACAACACCAAAGAACUGGGA